GGCCCGUUGGUCAAGGGGUUAAGACACCUCCCUUUCACGGAGGUAACAUGGGUUGGAAUGGCAGACACGCUA
rnacentral:tRNA from 1 species